rnacentral:rRNA from 1 species
AUACGGAGGAUCCGAGCGUUAUCCGGAUUUAUUGGGUUUAAAGGGUGCGUAGGCGGUACGUUAAGUCAGUGGUGAAAUUUUUCGGCUCAACCGGAACAUUGCCGUUGAUACUGGCGUGCUAGAAUAUGGUUGCUGUGAGUAGAAUGUGUGGUGUAGCGGUGAAAUGCAUAGAUAUCACACAGAAUACCGAUUGCGAAGGCAUCUCACAAAGCCAUUAUUGACGCUGAGGCACGAAAGUGUGGGGAUC